rnacentral:lncRNA from 1 species
AUUGUCUUCAACUACCCCAAAAAAAUCUCCUGGAAACUACUCUCUGAAAGAAGUUGGAGAAAAAUUAUUAAUGCACUUGAAGAAGAUCAAGAAAAAAGAAAGCGUGAGUAAUGUUUUGGGUGUGACCUCACAAGGCAACUUGCAUUCUUAACUCUGUCUCAGCCCCUGAGAACCCUGAGCUUGUUGGAUAACCCAACCUGCAAAACACAGCUCACAGAUUUCUGAGAAGCCUGAAGAUUCAGGAUCAGGACCAUAGUAAGAUAUGAGUGUCUAGGUAGCAUGACAACAGCCAGAACCACUUCUCAACAAUUGUGUGAUGUGUACACAGCUGCUGCAGUCCUGGACACUCAUCACUGCCACCCAUGACUCUGGAAUUGGGUAUUGCUGUGGACAACAAUACUACUUUGUUCUGGGAAAGAAUGCCCCUUCAUCCUUGCUUCUUUGAGUCACUCAAUGGAGAUUCAAGGUCUUCCGCAUCACCUUGGUGUUCUCACUUGCGGUGUGCCCACUGCACGAGCUUUCUGCUAUUCUACUGCACAUUCACAGCUCACUUGGAAGAAACUUUAGUAAGAUUCUUGGAAUCUUUCUCACAGCAGGAAGAGUCCUAAGAGACCGAGCUACUCCUUUUACAAUAAUUGAGACACAGACCGCUGGCAAAUGAAAUUUGCCCCAAAUUUGGAAGACCAUCUCAUAGGCAUGACAACAAAAGACUCAUGUGUUUGUUUUAACUUGGUGUGGUUUUUUUUAAUUAUGGGGGUAGUUUUAUUUAUUUUCAAAUAUGUAGUAGCUACUUGCAUUACUUUUUAAUAAACCACAUGUUCAUGGUCUAUGUUUAUUUUUCUAUGAGAAGAUCUAUUUUCCUUAUUGUGUUUUAAAAAUUCUUUCAAUAUAUUAUAGAAUAUCUCUAUUCCCACCAUAUGUGUUUAUACAUUUUAAAAAUUUCUGUUUUCUUACUGUAUGCAUGAUUUUCCCUGUAAAACUUUUUAUUUGCUUGUAGUUAAUGAUAUUAAUUUACUUCAGAAAAUCAUUCACGUGUAAAUAUUCUACAAAACUUGUCUCAUGUUUACUUUGAAUACUUUUAUAGUUCGAUCUUUAUGUUUAAAUCCUUGACCACCUAAAACGUACUUUGAAAUAAUGGGUGGAGUGGAAAUCCAGUAUUUACUCCUUGAAUUGCCGGUAAUCAGUCUAAACAUCAUUCGCUGAAUUACUAACAUUUCUUAAGUGAUGUGGAAUUCUGCCCUUAUCAUUUGUAAAAUUCUCAAAGGCAUUGAGUUUAUCUUUUAUUCCAUUGAGAUGUGUGCAUUUUCUCACCAUUAAUGUAUGUUCUAAUUAUGUUGACAUAUUUUUGUGAUAAUUUUGGUGGAAUUAAAAUGUGUCAUGGGUAACUCUCCCAUGACAAUUUAUCAUCAAUAUUUUCCUGGAAAACCUCAAAUGCUUACUUUAUCAGUUGGUAUGUUCAAUUUCAUUAAUCAUUGGAUUUUUAUCUCAUGGGCUUCCAACUUACUCUUCAUUGUUUAUCACUAAAACCCACUAAAAUCUCCAUUUUUUUUUUUUUUUUUUUGAGACAGGAUCUCGCUCUGUCGCCAGGCUGGAGUGCAGUGGCGCAAUCUUGGCUCACUGCAACCUCUGCCUCCUGGGUUCAAGUGAUUCUUCUGCGUCAGCCUCCUGAGUAGCUGGGACUACAGUUGCAUGCCACCAUGCCCAGCUAAUUUUUGUAUUUUUAAUAGAGACAGGGUUUCACCAUGUUAGCCAGGAUGGUUUUGAUCUCUUGACCUCGUGAUCCGCCUGCCUUGGCCUCCCAAAGUGCUGGGAUUCCAGGCGUGAGCCACCACGCCCGGUCUCCAUAGUUUUUAAGAGCGCCGUUAGGCUGGAUAUUCCUUAUACUCUGUUCCUAAUACUGUCAGUUCCUUAGGGAGGACUUUGGAGCUCUCUAUUCUUAUAGCCUGCCUCUCACUUUUGGAAAAUCACUGAGUUCCUUCUAAGGAGCUGUUUUGGAAAGAGUGGUUCACUUUUCUCAGAGUGACAGCCCUGCUUUACCAACUGGGCUCUGACCAUGAGCCAGAACAUCCUCUGAUGUUGUUGGCAGGCAUUCACUGGCAUGAAAAUUCUGCCUGGCAAAUGAGCUGUGCCGAGGGCUAUGGGGGUCUCAGCAUUCUUGACCUACAAUGCCUGGGAUAGAACCUCUCCACUACAAGUAGUGUUGGGUGGAAGAAUGGAGCUCUGUACCUCUUCAUCACACUCACCUGGAAUCUCUGCAAUACAACCUUGGAAUGGGUUUGAGAGAUGCUGGCAACCUUUUGCCUCUGGUGAGAUAUCAUAACCCUUUAAAGGGAAGUGAGAGGAAAGAGACUCUCCCAUUACUUGGCUAGAUGUGCCCUGAGUGAAGCUUCCCUCAUAUUGAGCUAGGAUAUAGAAAGUAUAGAGUGGGUUAUGACUCAAAUGCUGUAGACACUCUGUGUUCUUUCAAGGUUUAGUAGAGUUUUAAAAAUAAAUGUAUGCACUUAAGACAAUUCCCAAAGACUUCAAGUGGCUGUUUUAAAAAAUAACUUUUAUCAAGUAUGAUUGUUUGGUUUGAGGGUAUUUCCAUGGAUCUCCUUACACUGCUAUUCCAGAGGAGAAGCCACCAGGUCACUCAACUCUUAGUAUCAUCUACUGGAAACUGGCUAAGACAGUAUUUAUGUGCUUCUCUCACAAUAACAGGAAGAUAACUAUAUCACACAAUGGAUAUGGCAGUUGGCUUGACUGCAGUAAUCAUUUAACUAUGUAUAUGUAUAUCAAAACAUCAUGUUGCAUACCUUAAAUAUGUACAAUAAAAAUAAAAUCUAAAAGAAAUAAAAUAAAAAUAACUUUC